CGCCAAGAACCGCGAGGAUAGUCUCCCCUUGCGGAUCGGGCAAAUUUAAUAAUCAAGGAG
rnacentral:ncRNA from 1 species